GGUUCCAACCUUGAUUUCAUGGGGAACUGGUGCUUCUUUACUUGGAUUAUAUUUAACAGAUUGGAGAGUUAUCACAAGCUAUAUUCCUUUCUAUAAAGGCAAAUAUCAACAUGUUAUUCCGAAAUAACCGAACUAAUUAUAGAACAUUAAAGAUCGACAUCUUUCAAAAUGAAUGGUGAAUAAAGUGUUUGACUUCAUUUUGUUUAUAUAGUGGAAAUAUACAUUGAGUUUCAAACUAAA
rnacentral:sRNA from 1 species